AAGGCAUAAAAGGAUUGGGAUUUGCUUCCUUCCAAGUCUGUCCAGUACAAGGGGAAAACAAAAUGUACCCGUGCACAACGGGAGAGGCAAAGGGGGGAUUACAAAAAAAUAAUACAGAAACAUACUCUGGAUAGGCUUGGAGCUGCUACAAAAGACAAACGGAUGGAUGCCAAUGUUUCCAGGAAGCAGGAGGUAAAGAGCUCGGUUUUGGGGUUGUCUCUCGUGGCUUUCAUGCGGGACAUUGACACUCAGCUGCCCCGCUACCCCCCUCUCCCCGCCAAUGAUAGGAGCUUGAUCGGGCAGGAAUCCAUUUGCAACCUCAUCACUUUCCCCCGGUCUGAACAACGGAGCCGAUUGUUCCAACCGCCCGCCUAAUGGAGAAGGCCCAAGAAAACCUGGCUUCUUACCCCUUGCUGCCUGUGUAUCUUUUCUAUCGGGGCUACGACUCGAAACGGAGGGCAGACCUCAGCAAAGUGAACCCCCACCCCCCCCCCCCCCCCCCCCACAUCGUCACCUCCCGCCCCCGGCACCGAGGGACAUCAACGGGCUCCAUUUGUAGCAAAUUUGCUCCCCCAGCUCUCUUUAAUUGACCGACUUUGCCACUAACAAGGAGCUGAUUGAGCUCAACAAAAGCGCCGUCUCAGUACCAGAGGUCCAUUUCACGUCUUGGAAGUCAACCGGCAGCGUCGCACUAACUGUCUUUUUAUCAUUUUCAGGCCGAACUUCUUCUCUCUAUGGCUUGAUGGAGCUGCUUCCUAACAGAGUGACGCGUUUGCAGAGAGAGGAAAACCAGCAGCGUUGGAAAUAGAGGCAGUUAUCCCGACUUAGCGAAAAGGGGGCUGCCGCUGAUGGCAUCAGUUGAUUCUGCCGUUUCUUUAUAUCUGCUUGAUGAAUGUGAUGUUUGGCCACCACAAUUAGACAGGAUUGUUUACUAUAUAACCUUGUAAUCAACCUGGCUUGGUUGACAGCUCACCAUUACCCCUUGAUAACAGGUCUGCCACAAUUUGGACCCUGAAAGAAAAUAUAUAUUAAAAAGAAAACCACCGAGAA